rnacentral:rRNA from 1 species
GAUGAACGCUGGCGGCGUGCCUAAUACAUGCAAGUCGAGCGAACAGACGAGGAGCUUGCCCCUCUGACGUUAGCGGCGGACGGGUGAGUAACACGUGGAUAACCUACCUAUAAGACUGGGAUAACUUCGGGAAACCGGAGCUAAUACCGGAUAAUAUAUUGAACCGCAUGGUUCAAUAGUGAAAGACGGUUUUGCUGUCACUUAUAGAUGGAUCCGCGCCGCAUUAGCUAGUUGGUAAGGUAACGGCUUACCAAGGCAACGAUGCGUAGCCGACCUGAGAGGGUGAUCGGCCACACUGGAACUGAGACACGGUCCAGACUCCUACGGGAGGCAGCAGUAGGGAAUCUUCCGCAAAGGGCGAAAGCCUGACGGAGCAGCGCCGCGUGAGUGAUGAAGGUCUUCGGAUCGUAAAACUCUGUUAUUAGGGAAGAACAAAUGUGUAAGUAACUAUGCACGUCUUGACGGUACCUAAUCAGAAAGCCACGGCUAACUACGUG